AAUGAACGCUGGCGGCGUGGAUAAGACAUGCAAGUCGAACGAAAACACUGAAUAGCUUGCUAAUUGGUGUUUUAGUGGCGGACGGGUUAGUAACACGUGAGCAACCUGCCUCGAAGCGGGGGAUAGCCUUCCGAAAGGGAGAUUAAUACCGCAUGUGACCUUCGGGUCAAAGACGCCUUCGGGUGUCACUUCGAGAUGGACUCGCGGCCUAUCAGCUUGUUGGUGAGGUAACGGCUCACCAAGGCUACGACGGGUAGCUGUUCUGAGAGGAAGAUCAGCAACACUGGAACUGAGACACGGUCCAGACACCUACGGGUGGCAGCAGUCGAGAAUCAUUCACAAUGGGGGCAACCCUGAUGGUGCAACGCCGCGUGGAGGAUGAAGGCCCUAGGGUCGUAAACUCCUGUCAUAUGAGAGUAAGGCAUAGUCGGUUAAGAGCUAGCUAUGUUUGAUAGUAUCAUAAGAGGAAGGGACGGCUAACUUCG
rnacentral:rRNA from 1 species